GUUAGUAAGGUGCGCGGUUUAUCUACUUAAGAUGCGUCGAUCUAAUGCUUUAGGUGCGCGUGGUUGGUGUUCUUAAAGGUACUUUGUUUGUGUGCUUAAGGUGCGUGGUUUGUGUAUUUA